GACGAACGCUGGCGGCGUGCUUAACACAUGCAAGUCGAACGGAAAGGCCUGCUUUCCCUUGUGGAUUGCGGGUACUCGAGUGGCGAACGGGUGAGUAACACGUGAGUGAUCUGCCCCCAACUUGGGUAUAAGCCUGGGAAACUGGGUCUAAUUCCCGAUAGGACUGCAGGGUGGUGCCUGUGGUGGAAAACGAUUUUCAGUGGUUGGGGAUGAGCUCGCGGCCUAUCAGCUUGUUGGUGGGGUAAUGGCCUACCAAGGCGGCGACGGGUAGCCGGCCUGAGAGGGUGGACGGCCACAUUGGGACUGAGAUACGGCCCAGACUCCUACGGGAGGCAGCAGUGGGGAAUAUUGCACAAUGGGCGGAAGCCUGAUGCAGCGACGCCGCGUGGGGGAUGACGGCCUUCGGGUUGUAAACUCCUUUCGACCGCGAGGAAGCCACCUGGUUGGAAGGGUGGUGACGGUAGUGGUAGAAGAAGCACCGGCUAACUACGUG
rnacentral:rRNA from 1 species